GCUGGCUGGCUGCUCGUCGCUGGAGUCCUGAAAAGCUGUCGGUGAUUCUAACACACCCCUUCUUCCUCCUUUUUGUCCAACUCCACGCUUCCUAAAGACAGUUGGAGGAUUCAUUCAAAGCGGUUCUGUCUUCCCACAGAUCCAAGUGGCUGUUUCUGUGGGAUGCUGCUCCAUGCCCUCUGACGUGAAUUUGUCUAUCAAGGACCUCAAAUGUUGAGGCAGCAGCCUGUAACCUCUCAUGGCCUUAAGAUUCAGUGUCAGAUGACGUGUUGGUGCAGACAUGCUUUCACUGCUUUCACCAACUCUGCAAACCAAUGAAGGUCAGGGGAGUCAGAUGGAAGAUGUACUCCUCAUGCUGCUGCUAAACACUUCUCCAAAGAUCUUAACUGAUGUUGUGUGACGGUGUCACAGUCUUGAGUCUGUGUGGUUUGUGUGUUUGAAUGCAGAGUACAGUAGCAUCCGUGGUGGCUGUCUCUCAUCUCUCUCAAGGUCAGAGACACAGAGCUUCAUCUGACAGCAGAGCGUCUCCUGAAUAGAAAAAGAAAUGCCACAGCCUGGCUGACAGACAGAUAGAGCAGCGCCCCCAGCUGGACUUAAUGAGAAGUGACCAGACACAUGCAUGCAUCAUUCAUGUCAGCGCUACAAAGGCAGUAGCACUGAUCAGAAUGCAGAAAAAUCCCAAAGCACAAAGACAGAUGUUUUCUACACACCAGAAUUGACUAUAUAUUGCUUUUGUUUGUUGUAUUCAUUUAGCCUUUUUCACAUACAUUGAGAAUCAACUAAACCUUUAUGUUGAGCUAAAGAAAAAAAUCAUAUAUCUGUGCCCUGUUUCCGGAGGGGUUCAGUCACCAACUGUGAACUGUUUAGUGAACAAACACUGUACGCUACGGUCCAUGGUUCAUGUUUGGAUAUGUAAAUGAGGUUGGUGUAUGAUUGCCUCGCCACAAUGUUAUUCCACCUCCUUCCGCUGGAGGGUCGCCCUCCAAAUGCUUGGUCUGGAGGAAAGCGUCUCCAUAGAAACCACAACAACGGUGGCACAUGAGCUCAGGGUUUGACUGGGCAAAUGGAGGACAAUGACACAAGGGGUGCACUGGCACUGGGCCACGAUGGAGAGCAUCAAGCAGGGAUAUUGAGUGUUGAACAACAGACACUUACUUUUACCUCAUUUAGAGCUCAUUUAGACACCCAGAGAUGAAGAUAAAUAAAUGUGCUCAUGUAUUCAGAAACAAGUGGACUGAUGUGAGCGUCAGUGCAAGAGUUUGUGCAUGCGUUAUGGUGUAGUACUUUGUAUUUAACCAACAUAAUAUGACUGUGUAAUGAGUUUUAAGCAACUGAAUAAGAGCUGAUCGGGACACAAAUCAGGAUAAUGAUCUUAGAAUAUGAAUGAAUAAUCCAUUGUUACUUAAUCCAAAGAUUCAGUGUAGUUAGCUGUGAGUCCUUUAUGCUUUAAUUGGUUUUAUUUUAAGCAAAAAAAGAUUUGUUAUUUUAAUCCCAAGUAGACUUUC